GUCGGUGUCGAGGCCGGCGAGUGCGGCCCGGGACUCCUGCGCACGCGGGGCAAGAGAAAGGAGUGUCUAUCAGAGGGGAAAAAAUACUUGGAGAUGUGUCCCUGAACCUCCCGAGAAGAUUCGCAUCCGGCCGGUGGGGGCGACGCCUGGCAGCCGUGCGCGCCGCCCAGAAUAGCCGCGGCGCCGCCGGCCGUUGGAAAGUGCGGAUCCCCCCCUGGCCGAAACGCCAAUGGCGCCGAGAUAGCAAACAAUCCCCCGUCAGUACACCGCCUCGAAGUCGAGGGAACCGGCCGCAGCGGGGGGUUGUCCGUUACGUCGGCGCGGAGGAGGACGCCAGCCCGUCGUGGCCCGAAGAUCCUCUCCGCGAGAGCAGCGCACGCUUGCGAAGAAGACAAGGGAGAUCGGUGGCAUAACAUGUGGGUCAAGGACGGACCUUCCCCACGCAGUUGACGGGAAGCAGUUUGCAAAGGCCAACGCUGGCGUGACUGUGCCAAUAGUCGUGCCAUUAAAAAAAUGACGUUUUGCGUGCACUGACAUUGCGAGGAAACGGAGAGACUGCUUCCUUAUUUCUUCUUUUUUUUCCAUCUUGUUUUUAAAUAGCAUCGGCAUUCUGACAGAACAUCGUCUAGAAUUGCGAAAUACU